AAAUUUACAGAGGCUUCAUUCCGUGCAAAGAAUACCGACGUUGGCGCGAUUUAAUUCAUUCAUUCGUUCAUUCAUUUACCGAUCCGCUUUAUCCUCACAAGGCGUGAUUUCAAUAUAUUGGAAAUUAAUUACGAUGUCAGUGCAACGUUUUCGGAACACGUGACGCGUGUGCGCUUGCGCGUGUUGUGACUCUACAAACCGGGCAAACUGGUUGGAAAAGAAACCACCAACUGCAGAAAUUAUAAUAUGAGAUGCCUUGGCCUGUCAAACUGCACAACCUUUUUGUAGUUUUGUUCGUUCUUGGACCGAUGUCACACUACAAACACGUCACUGACCAGACACUCCCCAAUAGUUUGUGAGCUUUCGUCAAGAUGUCGUCAUGUCGACUGAGGCAUUAUAUUUCAUGUGCGUUUGUUUUCCCUUCAGAAAUGGCAAAACAAAGAAGACAGUAUGGACCCGUUCCUGAUGAGAGGGCGGAAUGGACUGUCUUAUCCUCCCAAAAUAACUUGAGCCCGUCGAUGUCCACCCUGCAGCAGUACGGCCCGCUGUCACUCCGCCUCACGUCUGCGAUGUCGAGGUCCAUUUGUCCUUCGAGGACGUCUCCCGUCAGCCGGUAGCGAUCGUCCGUCUGCAGCAGGAUCACACAGACCUUCGAUCAAGCCUUCACCUUGGAGAUAACACCUUUCUCAUCAGUCUGGAUCAGGAUGUUGCUGCACCAGAGGGUCCCGCAGCCGCGGCCCCAGCACACCCGACUCAAGCCGAAACGUUUCACCGAGUAUUGACAGGAGAGGGAGGCCACGCCACCUUCGGUCACUUUAAAACAGGAAACGUGAGCAACGCCACCUGCGGCUUGCAGGUGGGCUGGAUCCCAGCUGACUUUGGGCAAGAGGCUGACUACACUCUGGACUGGUUGCCAGCGCACUUAUAUUCACAACAAUGGACAAU